rnacentral:rRNA from 1 species
GACGAACGCUGGCGGCGUGCCUAAUACAUGCAAGUAGAACGCUGAAGAGAGGAGCUUGCUCUUCUUGGAUGAGUUGCGAACGGGUGAGUAACGCGUAGGUAACCUGCCUUGUAGCGGGGGAUAACUAUUGGAAACGAUAGCUAAUACCGCAUAACAAUGGAUGACACAUGUCAUUUAUUUGAAAGGGGCAAUUGCUCCACUACAAGAUGGACCUGCGUUGUAUUAGCUAGUAGGUGAGGUAAUGGCUCACCUAGGCGACGAUACAUAGCCGACCUGAGAGGGUGAUCGGCCACACUGGGACUGAGACACGGUCCAGACUCCUACGGGAGGUAACAGUAGGGAAUCUUCGGCAAUGGGGGCAACCCUGACCGAGCAACGCCGCGUGAGUGAAGAAGGUUUUCGGAUCGUAAAGCUCUGUUGUAAGUCAAGAACGGGUGUGAGAGUGGAAAGUUCACACUGUGACGGUAGCUUACCAGAAAGAGACGGCUAACUACGUG